GAGGAAGAAGAAGAAGAAGAAGAAGAAGAAGAAGAAGGACGAGGAGGAGGAGGAGGAGGAGGAGGAGAGGAGGAGGAAGGGGAGGACUCUCUCUGCCAGAAGAGCAAGAGAUUUGGAAUGAAUGAGCUCAUCAGGAACUCUGAAAGGAGACAGCCCCACGUGGCUCCCAUCUGGCAACACAGAGUAGCUGCUGCCAAAUAGGAGUGGGACCAUGUCAGAUUUAAGAUGAGUGAUACCUGGAAUGGCCUGCCUUACAAGACAGAAGAGAACUGCAAUAGUUGUCAAGAGCAAGAACCCUGGAAUCUGACUCCACCAUGUCUUAACUUAAAAUCUCCAUGCUUCAAUUGUUUGAUGUGUAAAACAGUAGCAGUAGUAAUUACCUCAUAGGAUAUUAUGCUGACACAACAAAUUCUGAUUCUAAGUGGCUUGGCCAGAUUCCUACCUACAGAUCAAGCAGGAUUUUCUGGACUUCUAUAAUUGUAGCCCUGGUCAGGGUGGGACCACAGAUUUCCAGUUCUCUUCCAAAUCUGCCUAAAGUGGACAAAAUGGAGCUCUUUGUACAGCCAGGCUUUUGGAGCACAGAUCUCAUCCAGGACACUCUGAUGCACUUGGUCAUCAUGUUUCCUUUGUCACCUCCAAUCUGUGACAAUUUCUCAGUCUUUAUUUUUCAUGACGUUGACACUUUGGGUGAGUACUUAUCUGUAUUUUGUAGAAUAUUCUUAAUUUGGGUUUGUCUAUUAUUUUCUCAUGAUUUGACUGGAGUUAUGGAUUUGAAGAAUACCUUGGAAGUGAAUUUCCCUUCUUACAACAUCAUGUUGGGGAUACAUGAUAUCCACAUGACUUACUAAUAGUGAUGUUAGUCUUCAUUACUCACUUAAGAUGAUGUCAGCCAGAUUUCUCCACUGUAAAGUCAUUAUUUUUCCCUUUCCAUUCUCUAUUUUUUAAAAGCAAAUCACUAAUCCAGCUUAUACUUAAGGGAAAGGAAAUUAAGUUCCACCUCCUGAAACUAAGAAAAUAAACUAUAUUUAUUAUUUGAAAUUCUUCUGUAAAGAAGGUUUAUCUCUUUUACUCCAUGUAUUUCUUUAUUCUUCUAUUGUUCAUUCUUGUCAGUAUGACUGUAUGAACAUUUAUUUUAUUUGUUGGACUGUAGUUUAUUAUAGACAUUUGAAUUUUGGUAUUUUCAAUUUUAUCAACCUUUUAUAUAUGUCUUCUGUGUUUUACAUCUUGUGAAGGAAACUUUUGCCACUUUAAUAAUAAUAGUAUUUCCCUGAAGUUUUUUUUACAUUUAAGUAUUUAAUCUAAUAGCAAUUCAAAUUUGUGUGUGAUAUGAGAGAAGGCUCUAAAUUUGUUUCUUCCAUGUUUGCCUUUAUUUGUCCUAACAUCAAUUAUUAACAUUCUCUUCCUAUUGGCUUGCAAUGCCACCAUUAUCAAGCAUUAAGUGGCGGUCUGUGUGUGUGUGUGUGUGUGUGUGUGUGUGUGUGUGAAAGAGAGAGAGAGAAUGGAGAUUCAUUAUAGACUUUCUUUCUUCAAGUAUAUUUAGCAUAUAGUGCUAUAUUAGUUUCAGGUGUACAAUAUAAUGAUUCAACAAUUCUAUAUAUUACUCAGUGCUCAUCAGGAUAAGUGUACUCUAAAUCCCCUUUAUCUAUU